UAAUUGCAUCAUUAUUAUUCUUGAACAGUGAACUACAGUGGACGCAGUCAGGUCAAGGCCAAUAGGGGCCUGAUGGAAGAGGCCAUCCUGCUGUCUCCUAGAGGGACCUCACACUCCCUGACUCUGGAGGACUUUAGGAAAUGGUGGAAGAGUCAGGCUGUAAUUACAGUAUGUUAACUGAGGACAAAAGGGAAUUUAUCAGGCAGCAAUUCCAUAACAACAACUGCUGAAAGAAGAAAAAAGCCUUCAGGAUUGCCUCAGAGACAGGUCCCUGGAUAAUUUGUCCCAGUUUGCAGAGGAUGGCACCUGGGGCACACAGAGAGAAAGUGAC